rnacentral:rRNA from 1 species
UACGGGGGGGUGCGAGCGUUGUCCGGAAUCACUGGGCGUAAAGGGCGCGUAGGUGGUUUGAUAAGGGUGUGGUGAAAGUCCGGGGCUCAACCCCGGAUCUGCCGUGCCGACUGUCAAACUCGAGGGCUGUAGAGGCAGACGGAAUUCCGGGUGUAGCGGUGGAAUGCGUAGAGAUCCGGAGGAAGACCGGUGGCGAAGGCGGUCUGCUGGGCCAUACCUGACGCUAAAGCGCGACAGCAUGGGGAGCAAACGGG